rnacentral:rRNA from 1 species
AGUGAACGCUGGCGGUAGGCCUAACACAUGCAAGUCGAACGGCAGCACAGUAAGAGCUUGCUCUUACGGGUGGCGAGUGGCGGACGGGUCCGGAAUACAUCGGAAUCUACUUUUUCUUGGGGCCGGACGCGGGCAACCUUACCCUAUUCCCCCCUCCCCCCCCCCCCCCCCCCCAGCGGACCUUCGGCCCUUGCGCGAUCCAAUGAGCCGAUGUCGGAUUAGCUGGUUGGCGGGGUAAAGGCCCACCAAGGCGACGAUCCGUAGCUGGUCUGAGAGGAUGAUCAGCCACACUGGAACUGAGACACGGUCCAGACUCCUACGGGAGGCAGCAGUGGGGAAUAUUGGACAAAGGGCGCAAGCCUGAUCCAGCCAUACCGCGUGGGUGAAGAAGGCCUUCGGGUUGUAAAGCCCUUUUGUUGGGAAAGAAAAGCAGCAGGUUAAUACCUCGCUGUUCUGACGGUACCCAAAGAAUAAGCACCGGCUAACUUCGUG